CGUCCACAGCCAAGGCGAGGGUGACGCAUGCCGUCAGUCCCUUCCAUGGUUAGCAAGUGCCCGUGCUUCCAGCAGCAAGAAUUACCACAGGCUCGGGAGCACCUGCUGUAGGCACAGCCAAGGCCCCGUAAGUGGGCAAAGAACCGGGCUGCGGAGAUGGCGGCGCGAAACCAAAUACGGGGAGCGAACUGGGAAACCAGGGCAAACGCGGGAUAGGCCCUCGGGGGUCGUCCGCCGGGGGAGGACGCGAGGACCCGCGGACGGGCUCCCAGCCCCACCCCGUCCCCCUCCAGCGGCGGACUCAACCUCCCAGCACCCAGCCAGUUCCCUAAAGCCGUCCCGCCCGUACUGGCAGGGAGCGCCGACACGCCCAUCCGUCCCGCGCAUGCGCGCGCCCCUCCCUCGCGUCCCGUUGCGUCCCGCCCCUCCGUGGGGCGGGACUUCCUCCCCACGCCCAGGAAACCGGAAGGGGUUGUUUUCCACCGGAAGAAGAGAAGAAUUGCGACGAAGAGUGGACGCCGCGGGCGGGAUGUGUUUGUGGCGUGGGGUGUGUGAGCCCCCGAGGGCAGAAGGCGCUUGUUUCUGGCCAUUCAGAGACCGUGGUUUGUGUGCAAGUGGAGCAGAUGCAAGACAGUGGUAGCAGGGUAUCCUCUGAAGUUUCUCAAGGUGAGUGUGUGGCCGUUGGCCUGGGAGAGGAAGAGUCAGGCAGUGCUUCCAAGAGGUGACUUUUGAGCUCUGUGGGCACUGGAUGGACAGGGGAGCGGAGGGCUGUUUGGGGUGCCUAGGAAUCAGGCCAGUCUACAAAUUGUAAAUGGCACAGAGGACAGCAUCAAAUACGUUAGCCUUCCUCCAGCGUGCUCGCCUUACUUCUGGACAGUGUUUCUUGGUGUUUUUUCUUCUCUCAUUUUCUCCUCUUCUCUUUAAUUAGAUGGUCGAUUAGCAUGUGGAAGGCAGUUAGAGGGUCGGAGUCUUUCUGGGUGGCAGAAUAAUGGAGUUUUAACCAAGAAGUGACAGAUUCGCUCAGUAAAUCCAUCUUGGAAAGCUGUGCUCCUGCUGUGGGAAGCCUCAAGUUUGUUGACUUGGUUAUAUUCCUGUCUCCGGUCCAGACUAUUUGAAUUUACCCACAUUGAAUUUUUUUUUUUUUUUUUUUUUUUUUGACAGGCAGAGUGGACAGUGAGAGAGAGAGACAGAGAGAAAGGUCUUCCUUUGCCGUUGGUUCACCCUCCAAUGGCCGCCGCGGCUUGCGCGCUGCGGCCGGCGUACCGCACUGAUCUGAUGGCAGAAGCCAGGUGCUUCUCCUGGUCUCCCAUGGGGUGCAGGGCCCAAGGACUUGGGCCAUCCUCCACUGCCUUCCCGGGCCACAGCAGAGAGCUGGCCUGGAAGAGGGGCAACCGGGACAGAAUCCGGCGCCCCGACCAGGACUAGAACCCGGUGUGCCGGCGCCACAGGCGGAGGAUUAGCCUAGUGAGCCGUGGCGCCAGCCCCCCACAUUGAAUUUUAAGAAUGAGAAUGCUGCAAAGGGCAAGGUUAGUGUUCAAGUUAACACUACACAGUGUUGGCUAUGUCCAAGUGACUGCGCAGGUGUUGUCUGCACCUGCUACAAGCUGUUUGAUUCUCAUGGUUGAAAUACAUAAUAGGUUGAUUCCACCAGUAUUCGAAUAAGUGAAAACAGAAGAAAAACUGGAUUCUGUCGAAAUCUGGUAAAAUGAAGACAAAUUAGUGAAAAUGAAGACAAAUUAGUGAACCAGUGAGCAGGGCUUAAUUUUGGCGGGUGAUGAUGAUAGAGGAAACAAGCUGUAAAGCAGUUGGAGGUUCUUGACAAGAACCAGUGCCUGGCCUGUCACAGCUAAGAGGAAUCACUGACAGAGGUGCAGUGUGCCCAGGUCAAAGUCACACUCCUUGCAGAACUCUUAGUGAUGGAGAAGAUGCAAGCUGGCUGUAUUCUUCUUCCCAGAUGACAAACUCUUAGCUUGCAUUUAGAUUAAUUAACCAUCGUGUGUAGUGAAGUGAGCAUAUGGAAAGAGUUCCCAUCUCUUAAAGCUUGAGGUUAUAAAGGACCUUUUCUGUAGUAAUUUUUUAUUAUUAAGAUUUAUUUUAUUUGGGGCCGGCUCUGUGGCGCAGCAAGUUAAUGCCUGGCCUGGAUCGCCGGCAUCCCAUGUGGGUGCCGAUUCUAGUCCCAGCUGCUCCACUUCCGAUCCAGCUCUCUGCUGUGGCCUGGGAGAGCAGUAGAGGAUGGCUCACGUCCUUGGGCCCCUGCACCCACGUGGGAGACCUGGAGGAGGCUCCUGGCUCCUGGCUUCGGAUCGGCACAACUCUGGCCGUUGUGGCCAAUUGGAGAGUGAAUCAGUGAAUGGAAGACUUCUCUCUCUCUCUGCUUCUCCUCUCUCUGUGUAACUCUGACUUUCAAAUAAAUAAAAAAAGAAAAAGAAAAAGAUUUAUUUGAAAGAGUUACAGAGAGGGGUAUAGAGAGGUCUUCCAUUUGCUGGUUCACUCUCCAAAUGGCCACAGUGGCCAGAGCUGAGCCAUUCAAAAGCCAGAAGCCUGGAACUUCUUCAGGUCUCCCAUGUGGGUACAGGGGCCCAAGGACUUGGGACAUCCUCCACUGCUUUUCCAGGCACAUUAGUGGGGAGCUGGAUUGGAAGUGGAGCAGCCGGGACUUGAACCCACGGCUGUAUGGGAUACCAGUGCUGCAGGCUUGGUCUUUAACCCACUGUGCCACAGCGCCAGCCCUCUGUAGUAUCUUGAUGUGUUCAAGGACCAUGUUGUAAAAGCAAGACUUGGUCACAUUCUGGAGACUAAGAAAUGAGAGUCCUUGAAGUCAAGCCGACUCUGCCUUUAGCCUCCUAAAUGAAAAGGUAGAUAGAACAGGUCUUGUUCGCAAAGGAAGUUCAAGACCUACUUAUCUACCAACAGCAAGUAUGCACUUCCUAUUGUUUUACUACGUGGAAAACAGAAAGAGUGUAUUUAUAGGGGAGAGUUGUGGAGACUGGAGAAUUUGCUGCCAGCCUGCGGGAAGGUGACUGGAGACUGGAGGAGUGGUUUCUGUGGGCGUGUAAGACCCCUGCAAAAAGCGUAAUAGAACCAUAAUAAAUAAAAUAUAAGUUAGCUUUAAGUUAUAAUAGAAAAUGUUAUUAAUACUGUUAACAGUGAUAUCAAUAAGUGUGCUACAUUAGGCGAUUAGGCCAAGUAGUUAAGUUAGGUACCUUAGUAGGUAGAAUAAUAAAAGCCUUUCCCCUACUCAGUGCUGGUUCUGGGAAAUAGGGAAGUAAGCUGGUUCUCAGAGAAGCGGUUAGAUUUCACUCGGAGAUAUGGGCAACAGAACAACCUGUUAUGUACAUGGGCCCCCCUCCCCUGUGAAGAAACUGCGAGGCACGUAAGGCACGUAGCAGCCCGCUUCUCUUCCUCAUCGCCCCCCCUUGUCCAUGUACUUUGUCCAACUGUCAAGUUGUCCAAUGAACUUACGCCACCCAAGGCUAUGGUAAUCUUGUGGUUUUGCCCUUUAAAAGCUGUGUGAGAUGACUGUUCGGGGCUCUCUCUCUCUCUCGCCGCUUGCGGCAGCAGAGGGCCCAUUUGCGCAAAUGAAAUGAAACUGCCUCUUGCUUUUUGCAUCGCCUGGUCUGGAGUCUGUGUUUCUGGGGUCAUCACAAAAGGGCACCGCUUUUGGGGUCCUUCAUUUGGGAGCUCGUCCGGGAUUUGGGAGACCCCAGACUCCCACACUCCAUCGGCCUGACGGAGGUAAGUUUGCUUACUUGUGUAUUAUUGUAAUUGUGGUUUGUACUGUUUGUCCUUGUUUGCCAGGGCGACGUGAAUCCGUCCUGGGGCGCCUGUGCAGGCUCAGUAUUGGACCAGUGGGGGAGACAGACAUGUCCUGAGACCCCUGGUCCUACCCUGGAGGACGCUCCAGUGGUGGUCUGGGAAGAGGGGAAAGAGAGCAUUUCCCUUCUUCCAGGGGAGAGCCUGGCCAGACGGCCGCUCCCAUCUGAAAUUUUAGUUUCGGUUUUGUCUCGGUCUGUUGCCACGUGGCUUGUGAUUUCUGUUCUGUGUGUCGCUGUUUUUGUUAUUCUUUAUUUCUUUCUAUUUCCCCCAUCUGUUGUCAUGGGCCAACAAUUAACAACACCUUUGAGCCUGAUUCUAGGACACUGGAAGGAGGGUCGGGAACGUGCUUGCAACCUGUCGGUGGAGGUGCGGAAAAAGGAUUGGAUAACUUUCUGCACCUCUGCCUGGCCAGCGUUCGAUGUUGGCUGGCCCAGAGACGGGAUCUUUGACUUUGAUGUUAUCUUACAGGUGAAAAACCGCGUUUGCCAGGAGGGCACUGAAGGACAUCCAGACCAAGUGCCCUACAUCACGGUGUGGGAAGAUUUGACUCAGGAGCCUCCUCCUUGGGUCAGACCUUUCCUCACACGGAGGGGAACUGGAGGCAGGAGUAGGGUCGACAAGGAAACCCCUGGGGGUCCUAGGCCUCCUCCAUGCCCCUCCGCGAUACCUUUGACCCCUCCAUUAACAUCUUACCUUUACCCCCUAAAAGAAUCCCCGAAAACAAAACCUGAUGAUCCGCCGGUCCUCCCGGGGGGACAGGAAAAUCUUUUGCUGCUAGACCCUCCUCCUCCCUAUAACCGUCCCCAUCAACCACCCACUUUGGAAGGGGCAGAACCUUCCGCGCCCUCCCCAGAUUCCACGGGGCGGGAUGAGGAAGCGCCACGACCCUCGUCUGACCCACACUCAUCGCCGCCGAAUACCCGCUUGCGCCUUCGUCACGAACAGGGGGAGGCGGGAGAUUCCUGGACGUCCCAAGCCUUCCCGCUUCGCUCAGUGGCGGGGGAGGUUCAAUACUGGCCAUUUUCUGCCUCAGACCUUUACAAUUGGAAAGCUCAUAACCCUCCUUUCUCUAAAGACCCGCAGGCCCUGACUGGCCUGAUAGAGUCAAUUCUGUUAACCCACCAGCCCACUUGGGAUGACUGUCAGCAGCUUUUGCAGGCCCUCCUAACCACAGAAGAAAGGCAGAGGGUUUUCACAGAAGCCCGCAAAAAUGUGCCGGGAGAUAACGGCCGUCCCACUCAGCAGCCCAAUGAGAUCAAUGGAGCCUUCCCGCUGACUCGACCUGAUUGGGACUUCAAUACCGUGGCCGGUAGGGAGCGACUCCGUCUCUAUCGCCAGAUUCUCCUGAAAGGUCUCAGGGGGGCCGGAAGGCGCCCGACUAAUUUGGCAAAGGUACGUGCAAUUAUGCAAGGGAAUGAGGAAACUCUGGCAGGAUUUCUGGAGAGAUUAAUGGAAGGUUAUAGGAUGUAUACUCCCUUCGACCCACAAACCCCCAGACCGGCAAGCCGACGUGAUUAUGUCCUUCAUUGGACAAUUGGCGCCGGACAUCCGUACUAGGCUACAGAGGUUGGAGGGGUUGCAGGGGUAUACACUGCUGGACCUAGUUAAGGAGGCAGAAAAGAUUUUCAAUAAAAGAGAAACGAAAGAGGAAAGAGAAGAGAGGUUACACAGAGAACAGGAACGUAGGGAGGAUCAGAGAGAUAAAAAGAGAAACAAGGACUUAGUUAAGAUCCUGGCCACCGCAGUUACAGGAUCAGAGCAGGCUAAAUGUAGACAAGGUAGGGACUUGGGAGACAAACGGAAACCGCGGGUGGACCGAGACCAAUGCGCCUACUGCAAAGAAAAAGGACAUUGGAUCAAGGAUUGCCCAAACAAGGGUCAGCUGAAAGGCCAACGGAGAGCCGUUACAGUCUUAUCACUGGAAGACGACGAAUAGGUAGGUCGGGGCCAGGAGCCUCCCCCAGAGCCCUGGGUAACCCUGAAGGUGGGAGGCCGACCAGUCACCUUUCUGGUUGACACUGGAGCCCAGCAUUCAGUUCUUACCGUGGCUGAAGGCCCUCUCAGUUCCAAGACAUCAUGGGUCCAGGGGGCCACUGGAGGGAAACUGUACAAAUGUACUACUGAGCGUAAGGUCGACUUGGCAACGGGGCAGGUCACGCAUUCGUUCUUACUAGUGCCGGACUGCCCAUACCCCAUGCUGGGAAGGGAUCUGCUCUCAAAGGUUGGGGCCCAGAUCCAUUUCCAAGAUAAGGGAGCCACAGUAGUUGGCCCCGCAGGCCAACCCCUCCAUGUGUUGACCCUCCGACUGGAGGAUGAACACCGCCUUCAUGAAUGCCCCCUAACAGCCCAGCCUCAGGUAGCAUCUGAGUGGCUUGCUAAAUUUCCCCAGUCUUGGGCGGAGACGGGAGGAGUAGGGCUUGCUGUCUGACAGCCCCCAGUGAUAGUAAACCUGAAGCCCACGGCCACUCCCGUAUCCAUCCGCCAAUACCCUAUGGCCACGGAGGCAAAGGUUGGAAUUCGGCCGCACAUACAGAGACUAAUAAAACUGGGCAUAUUGAGACCUUGUCAGUCAUCUUGGAACACCCCUUUGUUACCAGUCAAAAAGCCUGGCUCCAAUGAUUACAGGCCAGUGCAAGACCUACGGGAAGUAAACUGUAGGGCUGAGGACAUUCACCCUACGGUUCCUAACCUGUACAACCUGCUAAGCACCCUGCCCCCGAUCCAAACUUGGUACACAGUGCUCGACUUGAAAGACGCUUUCUUUUGCCUAAGACUGAGUCCCCAGAGUCAACCUUUCUUUGCUUUCGAGUGGAAAGACCUGGAGACUGGGUUUUCGGGACAACUAACGUGGACCAGGCUUCCCCAAGGGCUCAAGAACUCCCCUACGCUGUUUGAUGAAGCCUUACACCAGGACUUGGCGGACUUUCGGGUAAGCCACCCAGAGUUGACUCUUCUGCAAUACGUGGAUGACCUGUUGUUAGCUGCAGAGACUGAGCAGGGUUGCAUCAAAGGUACGGAGGCCCUACUCCAUAGGCUGGGAGAGUUAGGAUACAGGGCCUCCGGGAAGAAGGCCCAACUUUGCACCCGACGUGUGACCUACCUGGGCUAUGUACUGGAGGGAGGUCGGAGGUGGCUGACUGAAGGGUGUAAAAGGGCCGUAGCGCUCAUUCCACCGCCUAAGAAUGCCCGCCACCUCAGGGAGUUCUUGGGCAGCGCUGGCUUCUGCCGCCUCUGGAUACCAGGCUUUGCAGAGAUGGCAGCAUCGCUGUACCCUCUCACGAGGACAAAUUCCCCAUUUGUAUGGGGAAAAGAACAACAGCUGGCAUUCCACAAGAUAAAACGGGCCCUCUUGGAGGCUCCUGCAUUGAGCCUCCCGGACCCUGCUAAACCUUUCACCCUUUAUGUGGAUGAAAAAGGGGGAAUGGCGAAGGGUGUUUUGACUCAAAAUUUAGGACCCUGGAAAAGACCUGUAGCGUACUUUUCAAAGAAACUGGACAGUGUCUCCUCGGGGUGGCCCCCUUGCCUCUGCAUGAUUGCGGCCGUGGCUGUUCUGGUGAAAGAUUCGGACAAACUGACUUUGGGACAGCCACUCACCAUAUGGCACCCCAUGCCAUCGAGGCUGUUAUCCGCCAACUGCCAGAUAGAUGGCUGUCGAACGCCAGGAUCGCCCACUACCAGGCCAUGUUGCUCAACCCUGAACGGAUCCGGUAUGGGACUGCUGCCUCGCUCAAUCAGGCUACCCUGCUCCCUGAGCUGGGGUCCGAGUCACAAGUCGAUCACGACUGUCAUCAAGUGUUAGCCGAAGUGCAGGGGACCCGAGGGGACCGACCUACCUGCCCCUGCCAGACGCGGAAUGCACCUGGUACACGGACAGGAGCAGCUUCCUACACCAAGGUGAGAGGAAGGUGGGGGCAGCUGUAGUGGACGGGGAGACUGUUAUCUGGGCCUCAGCUCUGCCCCCGGGGACUUCGGCACAGAAGGCUGAACUGGUGGCUCUCACCCAAGCGCUCCGGGUGGCUAAAAACAAAAA